ensembl:snRNA U2 U2 spliceosomal RNA
AUCGUUUCUCGGCCUUUUGGCUAAGAUCAAGUGUAGUAUUCGUUCUUACCAGUUUAAAAAAAAAAAACAACCCACAUUUCUAUUUGUAAUAGUAACUUUAAAAUGGGACCGUGGUGAGGGGGGAGGGGCACCUGGGCGGCUCAGUCGGUUAAGCGUCUGACUCUUGGUUUUUGGCUCAGGUCAUGAUGUCAGGGUCAUGA